UGCCUCGUGGUGUAAUGGUAGCACACCGGAUUCUGGUUCCGUUUGUGAGGGUUCGAGUCCUUCCGGGGCAA
rnacentral:tRNA from 1 species